CACAAAAUGACAAAAAAUAACAAGCCCACAUCCAGAACCACCCUUUUGACAUAUGGUGUAUGUUUUUCCAGGCUUUCAUUCCCUGUUUGUCUCUUUCACACAUUAGGAAAUUUUGCUUUCCUGUGGGAAGUCUGGCCUCCGCCCUCAGCUUUGAGGAGAGGACCCAGCACAGUGACCAAGAACAUGAAUUCUAUGUCUCCAUCACCUAGUUUCACAUGCCAGCUCUCACCUGCCUGCUGUGUGACCUUGGGCAAGACAGGGACAGGGACGGCCCCAGCACCAGGCAGCUGCAUCCUGGUCCGUCUUGGGCACACCUGCCCGUUCGACCGGGAUCUGGAGCCAGCCCCAAGUACUGACAGGCAGGCGGCUGGGCACCCUGGAUCACAGGGACCUGAUGAGGACAAGAGGCAGAACUUGAAGCACUGAUCCACUUGUCUGAGCCCUCAGAUGGAGACCAGAGAGAUUGGGCUGGGCAUGGCCGAGAUCCCAUUGCCCACCUCUGUAGCCUCCACCCCAGCCCUGACAUCAGGCAGAAUCUGCAGAGACCAAGGAGUAUUUUCAGUGGUUGGCUGAAUCACGAAGGCAGAAGCCACAUACGGAAGGCUGAUUAUAUCAACAAGAAAGGAAUGAACUAAAAGGACACUGGGUAGCUCUUGAAUGGCCAGCAAGACCAGGAGCUGGGACUGCUCAAUGGAAAGCUGCAAAAGGAGAAUACACAGCCAGAGCCCCAGCAUCCCUCUGUGAUGCUCCUCUGCCACGCCGGCCUGCCUUGGAGCCAGCCAACUAUAGACCGAAACCUCUACAAACUGUCCAUAUCAGGAGGUCUGCGGUGGAAGGCUGAAGGAUCUAUGCUGGAAGCUGAAGAGUUUGAGCUGGAAGCCAGGAGAUGACUUCCAAGGUGAAAAAACUGGAGCAGGCCCUGGACUAAGCAUUUAAGAUUCAGCGAUGAGUUGGACAAUAUCUCUGCCCUCAGAAAAAGCCUGGUCUAGUGAGGAACUAGAACAUGACCCAAAAAUUACAAGAGUGCCCAGCACUAGGACACAGUUAUUUGUGUAUUUUGAAUAUUGGUUGAAUGAAGAAAGAAAAAGAUAAAUGGCUGUUGAGUAUAAGGAGGAGGCAAUCCGUGAGGGCUGCACGAAGGCCACAUGGAAAAGCACUGCUGUCACCACCUCGCCAGGCCCUUCCAGACCAAGGCCUAUGCCAAGCCCAAGAGAGACAGCCUUGCCACACAGAGGAAGCAAACCUGGCAGGAGUUAGAAGAGCUCAGAAACCUGCGAAUGGUCCUUUCAGGGUUCCAGAGCAGCUUCUCUCUGCACCAGCCUGGGGCUGCUCCCUUCAGGACCCCGCACUGCAAGGAAGGAAUCCCUCAGGUCAGGACUGAGGAGCACACUGUGGUUACCACAGAGGCUGAUUUUCUG
rnacentral:lncRNA from 1 species